rnacentral:rRNA from 1 species
ACACCACCGGGCCGGAAAGCUAUCCAAACUCGGUCAUUUAGAGGAAGUAAAAGUCGUAACAAGGUCUCCGUUGGUGAACCAGCGGAGGGAUCAUUA